rnacentral:sRNA from 2 species
UUUUUUGUUUUCUGUGUCAUGAUACUUACGUUAUUAGCCUUUUAUCGUCUUAUUUCAUUUUUUGGCCGGCAUGAUGCCGGCUUUUUUU